AAUCUGGUUUAUUAUUGGCAUCAACAUUUCAGAUUUGCAAAGGGAGACGUGACAUCAAGUUUGGAAGAAAGCUGAAUUACUGGGACUAACAGAGUGAAAAGAAUAUGGACUUUCAAGGAGUGGACACUGCAGUUUCCAGCGUUCUGUGACCUGUAAUAGUGCGACAGACUGAAUGCAGAAGCACAUAAACGAAUCCAGCUCUGUGAUUAAGCCAAGACAUUAAAGAGAUCUUCAAAAUGAAAACCAAUGCCACUUCUCUAAUAGACUUUUUUGUUUUGGAAAAUUUGUUUUUCCACGAAAGUAUUAUUUCUGUUACCAUAUAAUGGGUUAUUCUUUUUAAAUAAAUUAAUAUUUUUUAAAUGUCUUAGCUUUAAUUUCAAAGGUGGUAAAUAUCAGUAUGUAUUACAUGUAUGUAUUAUCUCUAACCCACAUAAGAGCUCUCUGGGGUCCUCAAUAAUUCUUAAGAGGGUAAAGGAGUCUCGAGACCAAAACUUCAGGAACCCUAAUACAGCCAUUCCAAACCUAACAAGGAAAAUAGUUUUACUUCGAGUUUCAUGUUCAUGGUGAAGUCAAGAAGAGAACGUGGUAACCUGGUUUGAUGGAGGGAGAUGAUGAGUUCGGCGUCAGUCUUUCCCAAUACCUUGCAAAAUGUUCAUGAAUUCCUGCACCCCACCCUCUGCAUUCAUCACCUCGCCUGCGCUUCUUCCCAGCCUUCCUUAGGUCUCCCAGAGCAGUGUCCACAUCCCUUUCUUUUGCAUUUUAAGUCCUCUGGAUGACUGCCCC
rnacentral:lncRNA from 1 species